rnacentral:lncRNA from 10 species
CCUCAGCCUCCCCAGUAGCUGGGAGUACAGGCGCAGUGGGUGUACUUGGAGCUGUGUGUGUGCACAGGUGUAGUGGGUGCACUCAGGGCCAUGUGUGUGUGCAGCCAUGUGCACAGGUCUGGCGGGGGCACUGGGGCCAUGUGUGCAGUGUGUGCGCAGGUGUGGUGUACUUGGAGCUGUGUGUGUGCACAGGUGUAGUGGGUGCACUCAGGGCCAUGUGUGUGCAGGCAUGUGCACAGGUCUGGCGGACGCACUGGGGCCAUGUGUGCAGUGUGUGCAGGUGUGGUGUACUUGGAGCUGUGUGUGUGCACAGGUGUAGUGGGUGCACUCGGCCAUGUGUAUGUGCAGGCAUGUGCACAGGUCUGGCGGGGGCACUGGGGCCAUGUGUGCAGCAUGUGCACAGGUCUGGCGGGGGCACUGG